GGGCCCGCACAAGCAGCGGAGCAUGUGGUUUAAUUCGAAGCAACGCGAAGAACCUUACCAAGGCUUGACAUCCCACUAAACUCAUGGAAACAUGAGGUGGUUUCGGCCAAGUGGAGACAGGUGGUGCAUGGUUGUCGUCAGCUCGUGUCGUGAGAUGUUGGGUUAAGUCCCGCAACGAGCGCAACCCCUAUUACCAGUUACCAGCGCGUGAGGGCGGGGACUCUGGUGAGACUGCCGGGGACAACUCGGAGGAAGGUGGGGACGACGUCAAAUCAUCAUGCCCCUUAUGUCUUGGGCUACACACGUGCUACAAUGGCUAUAACAAAGGGAAGCGACAGGGUAACCUGAAGCGGAUCUCAGAAAAAUAGUCCCAGUUCGGAUUGUGGGCUGCAACCCGCCCACAUGAAGUCGGAGUUGCUAGUAAUCGCGGAUCAGAAUGCCGCGGUGAAUACGUUCCCGGGCCUU
rnacentral:rRNA from 1 species